AGACAGCGCCUUGGCCUGAGGUGUCCCUGACAGGAUGAGGGCGGAGUGGCAGCUGCCGAAACCUGAACUCCUCUGCCCUGCCCCCGUCCCUUGAACCCACGCAUCUAGUAGGUCAGCGCCAGAGGAAAUCCUCGAAGAAAAUGGGCGUCUCCCUUGCUGAGCACAGAACCGCAGUCAGCCCUGUGUGCCCGCUCCCUGGAUGAGGACAGGAAGGACAUGGGGGAGAGGCCACGGUCACCCUCAGGAGCCCCCAGACCCACUGGAAAGCAGCGCAGUCUGCUUCUCCCGGGGGCCACGCCUGCAUUUCUGCGAACGAUCCCCAGCUGUCGCUAAUGAAACGCUCCUCCACUGAGAGGGAGCCCAGCCCCACUCAAGCCGGUCAGAGCUCAUCCGUAGGAGGCUGUGUGGGGGUCACGCCACCACAGGACGCAGAUCUGCCCGAAGCCUGUUUUAUUGCACUUAACUAAUUCCCAAGAUAAACCACUGGGAAUUUCCAUAGCUGCCCCAGAGCCCUAGACAGCCCCAUGGAAGGGCCCAUCUUCCUCCAGCCGUGGAGGAAAUUUGCAGCCAUCCGUGACCUGCAAACUGUAGCUUAUGAUGGACUGCUCCCCAUCCACCAAAGCCCAGCCACUUGGUUUGGAAGCCACUGCCCCAAAUGGCCCCUCUCCAGUCACUGAACUGCAGUUCAAACGCCCCACCCCUCGGCUCUUUGAGCAGCCAGGCUGCCUUCUCGCUCUGGGAUGGUUUCUUCAAAACCCUCUGGAGUAUGUCCAGUUCUUCUGUUAUUUCAGGGUGUUUUAUUUCCAGCACAGAUUUCCACUUCUGCUACCACCGGGAUGGAAAAGGCCUCUUCCCUCAGAUUCCCCCAAUCCCAAGAAUGCAAUUCCUUCACUAAUGCUGAGUGGAGACAUAGUCUCUACAAUCCAGAAGGCUGAGUGAGGUGGAAACGUCGGUGCAGCCUGCAGCUCACCUGGUUGUCACUCGUAGAUCGGCCUCGGAAAGCUCCAGGAAGUUGGUUUGGGAUGAGCCGGGCGUCCUGCACAGAUGGUGGGAGGGAGAGGAGGCCGGAGCUUCAGCCAGUGCAGCGCCAUGGCCCCUGUUCUGUGGUUCACUGGGGUGUGAGGCCUUCCUUGGGCUCAGAGAGGGGGCCUCCGAGUCCUCAUCCACAGAAGCCCUCUGUGCCACCAGCAGGGAACAGCCAGCAAAGAGCCUUCACCCUGAAGAUCCAGACGGAAUUCUUGGUUUCUACAGCUGCUCCCUGCCUCUCCCCACAGCCACGGGAAGGGGAGUUAACCGAGGCAGCCCCCACCCGAGACAGACCUGCACAGGGCCAAGAACUUGCCCUGUGGUAGGGCUGGGGGAGGAGCGGCUGGUGGACUUUCUGUGUCAAAGGCAGGUGUCACUUUCAGCUCAUUAAUUUCACUUCUCCAGGUUCUCAAUCCACCAAAAUGAGCUCUUUACAAAGGCCAGGACCUGCCCUUCUAGAGGACAGGCUCAUACUUCCCAAAGCUUCAGGACUUCGGGUCCUGUGGCUGCCCAUCCGUCAGCAGAACUGGGUGAGGCCAGGUGUGACAUCAGACAAGUCCCCCGCCUCUGGCAAUUCCUCAGCGGGGGGCAUGACCUACUGUGCAUUCCAGGGCUGCGGCACAUGUACUUACCCCUUAGCCUUGGACCACAAGCCUCCCCCAGCCCAAAAUGGAAUGGGGACAGCCUCUGCCACAGGGAGGGGCAGGUGGUGCCGUGUGAGGGGCGGUGGCACCCAGGGCUUUUCUCACAAGGAAAAGGAACCUCAAAGUGUUUCUCUCUGCACACUUUGCCUCCCUCAAAUGCGGGCUCCUUCCUCUCCCACCCGCAUCAGCAGCUGAGGCCCCAGAAGGGCCCACCUGUGUCCCGCCCACCAUGCGUGAGAUCGCUGAUUGCCUCCUGGGAUAGUGGCAGCGUGCUCGAGCCUCUCCGGACCGCAUCCCAGCUGUUAGAACCAGGAAGCCCCCGUCAGGCACCAAGACCCCCAGACGCUGGCCCGGGCUCCCCAUUUUCACUUGAUCCUCUCCGCCGUGUUUCUGUCUUCCUGGGGCUGCAGGCGUUUUGGUCAUGGCUGCAUCACACCAGAGUCUGCGUCCGUGGCCACGCAGCCUCCUCCUUUUCUCCGUGUCUUAAACUUCUUUCUGUUCCCUCUUAUCGGGACCUCCUGAUGCCAUCAGACGCCGCCCCACCAUGGUUCAGAACAAUCUUUCCAUCUCAAGAUCCUCAGUUCAAUCACAUCUGCAGAGACCCUUUUUUUCUGUGUAAAGUAGCAUUCACAGGUCCCAGGGAUUAGGAUCUGAUAUCUCUGGGGCCAGUACAGAUGGGUUUGAGAUUUGAUCAUGGAGAAAAGAAAUGACGGCAUUUAGCUCUAUAUCCUAGUCAACACGGAGCCGCGAGCAUGAUUGAGAAGAACGUCAAAGAUCAAGCAGUUUUGUAAAAGAGUAAAGCCCCUCCACUCUCCUAAACCCA